CAGACUUGCUGUUUUUUGUUCAGUUGAAGGGACCUCCAGGCUUAAGAUCUUUCGAGGAUAAUUGUGUCAUUGAAUCUGAAGGUUAUGCGAUCUCCUAUGUUGCUGCAUGUUGAUCUUCUGUUUUGUUGUAACUCUGUUUUGCUGCUCGAGGACAAUUUCCUGGAUUAAUAUAUAUACUGGAGAUCCAGGAGUCCACCCGAAUUCAGUCUCCAAGAAGCCUUUCAUCCAGGAUGCAC